UAGGGAAUAUUGGACAAUGGGGGCAACCCUGAUCCAGCCAUGCCGCGUGAGUGAAGAAGGCCUUAGGGUCGUAAAGCUCUUUCAAUUGUGAAGAUAAUGACGGUAACAAUAGAAGAAGCCCCGGCUAAAUUCGUGCCAGCAGCCGCGGUAAUACGAAUGGGGCAAGCGUUGUUCGGAAUCACUGGGCUUAAAGCGUGCGUAGGCGGAUUUGCAAGUCAGGCGUGAAAUCCCGAGGCUCAACCUCGGAACUGCGCUUGAAACUGCAAGUCUAGAAACCGGUAGGGGCUAAUGGAAUUCCAAGUGUAGAGGUGAAAUUCGCAGAUAUUUGGAGGAACACCAGUGGCGUAGGCGAUUAGCUGGACCGGUAUUGACGCUGAGGUACGAAAGCGUGGGGAGCGAACGGGAUUAGAUACCCCCGUAGUCC
rnacentral:rRNA from 1 species